AAAAAAAGCCUUGUAAAUCACGGUUCGAACAAGAUCUUCCUUGAAGUCGGAUCUUCAGAUAUUCAUGUCGGCCAUGAGCGUGGAAGAGCCAGACCCCAAGGCUUUGAGAAUGGAGGAAGAGAACCAGUGAAAAUAACGG